GCAAUCCCCUAACCUGAUAAUCUUUUAUUAUUUACUAAACCUUACCUUUUAUAUGCUUGUUUACAUUCCUAAAGGACAAAUGUGUAUUCUAGUAAAUAAAAAGCAAAGGGGACCAAAAAGUCAGGGAACCUCUCCACUAGAGAGUAAGAUCUCCUCCUGGCUCCCCCCAUGCCUUCUAAAUUUAUAUUUCUUGUCUAGUAUAUCCGUUUAUAUGCAGCCCCUUCUCCAGAUCCUGAAUCCUUGCUGCAAAUGGUUGUGGCAUUUUGGCACCUCAAAAAGGACAUCUGGAGAAGAAGAUUCAAUGGAGCGAAAAACGAAGAUAGUUCGCCGGAAAGAAAAUUCCUCCAAGCCAGUGCAGAUUCCUGCAACAAUGGAUCUGAGAGAGGAACUGACCAGACUACUCCAACCACAGAUAGCAGUGGCCCCAAGGAACACACUGAUGAAACAGAGGAGAAAUAGUCCAGAGAUGGGGGAUGGUAAAGACGCCUUGCCAUGCUAGCAGUCAUCAGCUGUGAAUCAGUGCAUGUUGCCCUGGACAAAGCCAGAGAAAGUUGGACCUGCAUUGUCAUUGCCCACCAUUUGUCCACCAUCCAGAACUGGAAUAUCAUUGCUGUCAUGUCACAGGGGACAGUGAUUUGGAAGAGGAUUCAAAGAACUAAUGGCCCAGAAAGGAGCUUGAUGCAAACUAGUUCCUUUGAUGCCUGGCAGCAAUUUUAAAAGACAUGAAAGAACUCAAUCCUUUUCAUUGAAUCUAAAAGUCUUAAAAGGACUUAAGCUCUUCAGGCGGCAUAUAUCUUUCAAAAUUUAUUAAAAAAAACAAAAAAGGGGGAUAUGUGGAAGCUACCCAUUGUCUACACUAUCAUGAAAGUGCAGCAGGGAACACAGAAGGCUGGUGGACCUUGGGCUUUAGCAAGGGCUAAAAGCUAUGUACCAAUUGUUCUGUCGAGACAAUGGUGGGCUCAUGGCAAUCCCCUCACUUGAUCAUUUUUUAUUGAUUACCAAACCUUAUCUUUGAUAUGCUUGUUUACAUUCCUAAAGGGCAAAUGUGUAUUCUAGUAAAUAAAAAGCAAAGGGGACCGAAAAGUCAGGGGACCUCUCCACUGGAGAGUAAGGUCUCUGCCUGGCUCCCCCCAUGCCUCCUAAACUUA